ACAAGCCGUGAAGGUCGCCCUGGAAAGGGAAUGACCUCUCACCUGGCCACCCUUGCUUACCUUAACCUGUUGCUUUGGUGGGCCCGCCGUAAGGCCGCCGGGGAACUUGAGUUCCCGGGCCCGUGCCCACCGAAGUCUUAUUGAACUCUGCAAGGUCUUUGCUGUCUGAGCGUGAAAGCGCAAACCAUUUUA
rnacentral:misc_RNA from 1 species